rnacentral:lncRNA from 1 species
AUUCCUUUAAGGAUACACACCCAAUCAACAGCCUCUUAAUCUUUGGCUAUUACCUGAUUGGCCAGUUGUCCCCGCUAAAGUAAAUUGUUUUCUGGUUUUAAUCUCGGCCAGUACGAAAUCCAUGCUGUUUUAUCCGUGAAGAUUAACGAGAAAUAAAAACUGUUCCUGGUGAAUUUGGUAAUUGUUGGGUGAGACGGGUUAAAAGUUGUCCAACGUUAGCGUUCUUGCUUGCCAGUUUAUAGCGUUGAAUUGCAGGUGGUGGUUUGCUAUUUUAGCUCGCUCUGUUCUCAUCAACAAAGAUCCUUAUUAGCUAGCUACCUAGCGCUAGCACAAAUCAAUUUAGUGCAGACACAGGUCUACGGUGCAGACUAGUAGCUAACUUGCUACAUCAUUAGCAAAGAGGCUAGUGCCAUAAAAUGCACGUUCUGACAUGGUAGCAACCCGCAACAUUAUGGUAAUGUCAAUAGAUCGCCGCGGUUGGUUUGUUUAUAAGUAGUCCUGUUAGCUAGUUCCGAACAUUUGAUAAUGUAGCCUAAUGUUACAUUUUUUGUGUUGGAUGUGUGAUGGCCUGGUCUAACUCUCGAGUUAAGUCAGCUUGGUCUUUUGCCCACAGAAUUCAAAGAAAGAUGAAUGUUAACCAGGCUGAGGUACUCAAAUCAACUAGAUGGAGAACAAACCUGGAGAAAGUUAACAUAACCAAGAGGACUAAACAUUCCAAAACGAAUGGGGUUACUUUGAACUCCAUACAAGUAAAACAGAAACCAAGAAACUUUGAGCAGAAGGAAAUUGGGGACGGUGACCGUUCCAAACUUUCCUUGCUGAAGAAGCCUGUCAAGCAACAACAAACUACAUCCAACCAACCGACCAUUGGUAGUCAGAUAUCAUGGAGUCCUCUAGUGCUGUUAACCAGAUUGUCUAAGGUGGUGGUUAAGACUCUUCGGAGAGAUACUAAAGUGUGUUUGGUGAAGGAAGAGACAGAUGCCAGGAGGGAUGAAGACAACAAGGGAGGUAGGAUAUAGUGUUCAUACAUCAGUCUACUCCCAAUACUGCAGUUUAACCCUGUAAGAGCCUUAACUCAUGUCAAAUACUACAUAGUUCAUCUCCUGUGACCCAGAUAUAGCGCUAAGUGAUUAGUGCUUUUUGAGGUCUGUUCGGUUUCAAUUAAAAUAAUAAGAGGUUCAUGGUUUUCAGUUUGGAUCAGUUUUUAAAACCUUAAAUGCACCAUGCAUUAUGUGGGUUGAAUGCUGUAACAUGGAAUAUAACAAUUAAUGAAGUUAAUUUGAUGCCCAUUACUGCUUAUCACUUAUUAACCAUAGUUUAUUCCCAUUACUUUACUUAGAAUAUUUGUGUAUUACACUUAUGACUUUAUUAUUACAUUCCAAGUCAUCAUUUCCUCUCUAUAGAGCUGCUGUCUAUUUUCUGACAAAAUCACUGUUUUAGUAGUUCAAUGUAAAUAAGGCAUACUUUUAUGACUGAAUGAUUACCAACUAUCAAUCACUUAGAUCAUGUAUUUUCAGAUAAAGAUACCUCUCGAAGCAACUGCUCUCGAUCGUGCAUUCGAAUGGCUCUUUUACAUAGCAGGCGUAAAAGAAACGGACCGGACAAGUAGGCACGCAAUUGAUUAUGGUCAUUGUAGUUAAUUACUAUGUUUUCUUUGCAAAACUAUGUAGACUAUUUGGAAACUACAACUCCAUACUACAUUGCAGAGUUUGGGCUUGAUCUGAUUAAUCUCUAGAGAAACUGUGCCUUGAGCUCGCAUAAAAAUAAAUUGAAUUUUAAUAAUUGAACCGACGUCGGUAAUUUAGUUUAACAAAUUUUUAAAUAACCAACAUUUCGGUUAAUCGCUCAGCACUACCCAGAUGUAUCUCUUAGAAGCAUUUGUUGUGUUCUAUAGUCUCUAAUAUGUAGUGAUUAUGUAGAAAACAAGUGUUGCAAAAAUCCUUGGGUCUCACAGGAUUAAAUGGGUGAAUUAAAUGUCAGCAAGGAUUUUUAACAUUUUUUAUGAGGAAAAUAACAUUUCUGUCCCCUUUCUCUCCUCUUAUCAUACCCUUCUUCUUUACCUUCCUUCCUUCCACCCAUCUCUGUACUCAGUCUUGUCUCCUCAGUUCUUUCCUUGUCCACACUGCACCAUCUCCUUUACUGACUGUUAUUUCCUAGAGAAUCACAUCAAGAACAAACACCAGAAGCAGUACCUGGCCAUGUUGAAAAGCCAAGUCUCAAAGAGUAAAAGAGUGUACGGCCCCACACACAGGCUGUCCCCACUGUAGCUGCAUGUUCCAUACACCACGACAGCUAGACAUUCAUACCCGCCAGGCCCACCCAUCUGCCCGUCCCCAGAAACCUGCCCAUCCCCGCAGGGUUCCGGGGAACUCCACCCUGCCCGCAGUGUGCCCGCAGAUUCCCUUACCUGGGCACCUGCUGAAGCACUGCAAGAAUUUCCACAAAAGGCCGUUGUUCGCAUCGAUGGACACCUCAGUUGCGCGGAGUGUGGGAAGAGCUUUGAGAAUUGUUGGGGACGGGGCCUCACCGGUGUCACGAACCAGAGGGCACUAAACCUAAGGACACUAAGCCUGUGAUAUGUCUGGAAGUCGGCUUCCAUUGCUCCGAGUGUGGCAAGAUCCUCACUACUCCUACAAGCCUGAACACUCACAUGCGCAUCCACACUGGAGAGAAGCCUUAUGAAGCAAGGAGUGCGGCAAAAUUCUCGAAUAGCAGCAGUUUAGGCAAACACCUGCUGAUACACAAGGGGUUCAAAGAAUUCAAAUGCCAGGAUUGUGGGAAGGCUUUCGCCCAGGCAAAUCUUCUCAGGAAUCACAUGACUGUUCACUCUGGUGAGAGAAAGUUCUCCUGCCCCAUUGUGACAAGCGGUAUGCAUACAGGGGUAGCUGGACUUCACCUGCGCACACACUCAGGGGAGAGACCUUUCAAAUACUGUAUGUGGUAAAGACUUUGCUGACAAAUGUUAUCUGAAAACACACCUGAAUAUCCACAAUAACCAGAAAACUACCAUUGUGGGGUUUGUGGGCGAAGUUCAUAAGGCUUGGGUUGUUGAAGUUACAUAUGCGCUCACACACCGGGGAGAGCCCUACCAUUGCACAGUGUGCGACAAGAAGUUUUUUAGACUCUCACACCUGAAGAACCCAUCUCACUCACACAGGUGAGAAACCAUACACCUGUACCGAGUGCGGUAAAAGCUUCACUCAGUCUGGAGAUCGGCUAAAACACAGCGCCACCACCUGGGAGAGGCCAUUUGAAUGUUCUGAAUGCCACAGCCGUUUUAUCUGUUCAGGUUUCUGACCCUGCACAUGAGACCCACAUCACCGUGAUGUAAAGCCAUUCUCCUGCCAAGAGUGUGGGAAGAGCUUUUAUGAACAGAGUCAUGUAAAAGUCCACAUGAAAUCCACAAUGGGAAACCGUAUUCUGCCCCCACUGCUUUUUUUGCUUUGCUCGAAGAGCAACCUUUCCAAUCACCUGUCUAGAUGUCCCAACUUAAAUGAGUUAAACCUAUGAAUGGGGGGGGGGGGGGGGGGGGUUGUCCCUUCAGGGUUGAUGCUGGACACAAUGCGAACUGUACCCCUACUGUGUAUGGUAACUCCAUAUCACAGAAUCUACCUAUGAUACCACAAUGUCUUUAGCAAUACUCCAAUAUGUUCAUAUACAUUAGAUUGUUAGUUACGUUUUUGUCUGUUUUUAACCUGUAUUUUAUGUUUUUAAAUUUGUACUGAAGGGACAGUGAUGUACAGAAGAUUGUUUGACUGAUUGUCCUAGUGAUUAGUAGGUGAUGAUGUUUCGAAAAGAUGAUGGGAUGUUUAUUUUCCUUUGUGUUUGUGGUGUAUACCUUGAUUUGGAAGAAGAAGAGCAUUUAUGUAAAGGUCACACCCCUAGUAUUGUUAUAAACAUGACAUUAGAUUCAUGGGGCUCCCGAGUGGCGCAGCGGUCUAAGGCACUGCAUCUCAGUGCUGGAGGCGUCACUAUAGACACCUGGUUCGAAUCCAGGCUGUAUCACAACCGGCUGUGAUCGGGAGUCCCAUAGGGCGGUGCACAAUUGGCCCAGCGUCGUCUGGGAUAGGCCGGUGUAGGCCAUCAGUGUAAAUAAAAACGUGUUCUUAACUGACUUGCCUAGUUAAAAAAAUUUUAAUGAAAGGUAAUUACAUAAAGACCACUUGAACAGUUGGAACACAUGAUUUGUAUCAGUCCAUAAGCCAUCAUUGGCCUGCACUGGUUGUAAUAUUGCAGUCCUAAACUUAUGAAGCCAUACUUCUGCCAAGAAUGUGGGAAAAGCUUCUAUGAACUGAAACACUUUAGAUGCCACAUGAGGACACAUGGGGGAGAUAUCAUACCCCUUCCCCCUUGCUUCUCCAGCUUCACUCACAAACCAAAUCUCUUGAAACACCUGCCUAAUGUUGUAAAUGAUCAUGAUUUGCCUUUUUUAUUUAACACCAUAUAUAAUGAAACGCAUUGUAUUCAUAGGUAUCACUUGGAGAUGACUCUGCCACUGUGAAAUUCUAAUGUUAUAAUGGAUCGUCAUUAGGUUAUAGUUACAUUGUUUAAUGAACUAUGUUUUGUACUUUUUCUGUAUUUUUUUCUUAAUUUCUUCGCUUUUUAAAUGAUAUACAUGAGAUUUGUAUGCCGACUCCUGGUGAUGACUGACAAUAAAGAUGCCAUAUUUCACAAACUGUCACGUCUGUUUUGUGCUUAAAGGUAGACUCAGUAAAAUGAAGUUGCCACGAGCAGCACCACAGAUAAUGCGAUGAGGGAG